UCCGAUAUAUAACUAGACUCAAAUAGUUUUUCACUAGACUCGACUCGGCCAAGUUCGAUCAAUCAAGGGGGCUCCUAGGUCGGUCCUUGCUCUGAUACCAACUUGUCACGCCCAAGAUGCGACCCUAUCCUCAAUUUGGUACGAGGGCCUCGUCAGGGAUAGAAGCGCAUCUCGUCGUGUCGCAAGAAUGGAUAUCGUUACAAGUACCUGUACUGAAAAGAAGAGAUAUAAGAAGAGUUGGCUUACACUCGCCACAAGCUACAUCAGAGUCACAUCAGUACAUUACAUAUUCAUCAAGAGUAAGAGCAGGGUCCGACUACGGACGAAAAUAAACGACAAAAGAAGAACGACGUCCAUCCUUGCUAUCCCAGGCUGCCGGCCUGGAACCCAUCCUAGAUCGAUGAAGAAGAAGAAGAAGCAACUUCAAAUGAACAAUCAACGCGCUCGCGUCACGUAACCUUUACCUGUACCUGCAACUGGUGUUGUAGUAAUCUGUGAGCCACAGGGGACUCAGCAAUCUCAUUUCCAAAGGUAUCAAGACUAGCAAAGCUUAAUGGGUGAGGCAUGGUUAAGUGGUGAGAUUGCAGCAGCGGCUAAGCAUAUAUAUGGUGGCUAACUUACGAGUACAAGAGAUAAGAGGGGGAAAAUCUACGCAUAACAGACGUGAACUACUGAUGAUCAAAUGAAUGAUCCUGAACACCUACCUACGUCAGACAUAACCCCACCGUGUCCUCGAUCGGAGAAGGAACUCACGAAAGAGACAGUCACGGUUACGCACACAGUUGGCAUAUUUUUAAUUAAUUAACUUCAAGUUAUCUAGAACCAGUGUUAAACAAAGUUUCCACGUUGCCACAUAACCGCGGGCACGGCUUUCCGAAAGAUUUAACCCUGCAGGGGUGCUCCAACUAGUCCAUCACAAAUUACCACAAGCCGCAUAGAAAUCCUCAAUCACGAAGCUCGCGAUCUCGUCGGAUUCCCUAGUGGAAAACCUCAACUCUGAGAUUACCCAAAGCAUCACCGGAAUCCCGAUGCACAAGAUAUCUCGUCAAAGGUAAAACUAAUCCAGCAAGGCCGCCCAACGUGUCGACGAUCCCGAUAGGAGUCGCGUACCUCGUUCUCAGGACACGUCGGAUGACCUAGACGUCGGGAUCGCUAAACCUCCGGGUGACCAGAGGGGCGCCGGACAUCGCUCAGGUGGGACCAACACUCAUGUGGAGCACUGGCCCGGGGGUUGAUUAAAUUAGUCCGCGGGUGCCGGCGGGUCCCUAUGCAUUAUUAUUAGGUUAUUAGGCAAAUGUAGUACCAAAGUUGGGCCUUGCCAGACCAGCUUUAAUCUAAAACGAAUUAUCAAGGGGGUCCCCAUAACAACCCCGAUCGUGUUAGGAGCGCUCAUAUAUGGAACAUAACACCGGUAGCCGAAACUAAGGGGGCAAAGGUGGAACAAAACACCAGGCUAGAAAAGCCGAGCCUUCCACCUUUUACCAAGUAUAUAGGUGCACUAAAUUAAAUAACAUAUAAUAUGGUGAUAUAACAAGGAACCCAUGCUUUCGCAUGGAAGCAUCUACACCUACAACUAGCAACGCUAACACAGGGUUAAGAAAGCGGUAACAUAGCCAAUCAGUGGUUUGCUAGGUCGAACAGGUUGAAGGUUAACAUGGCAUUGUUGAGGGGCUAAUAUUUAACAUGUGGUAGGAAACGAGACAUAAUCGAUAGAAACGGUAAAACUAGCAUGGCAAUGAUAGUAAUGGUAUCUGGGGAAAUGAUCAUCUUGCCUGAGAUCCCGCUUGGAAGAAGUAUGCCUCCGUGAAGCAGACGAACCGACGUAGUCGAACGGUCCUCACAUCCGACACGCUUGCGGAACU
rnacentral:lncRNA from 1 species